GUUGUUUAUCCUCCAGGUGUCUGUCUGUCUGUUGGUGUUGUUUAUCCUCCAGGUGUCUGUCUGUCUGUUGGUGUUGUUUAUCCUCCAGGUCUCUGUCUGUUGGUGUUGUUUAUCCUCCAGGUCUCUGUCUGUCUGUUGGUGUUGUUUAUCCUCCAGGUGUCUGUCUGUCUGUUGGUGUUGUUUAUCCUCCAGGUCUCUGUCUGUUGGUGUUGUUUAUCCUCCAGGUCUCUGUCUGUUGGUGUUGUUUAUCCUCCAGGUGUCUGUCUGUUGGUGUUGUUUAUCCUCCAGGUCUCUGUCUGUCUGUUGGUGUUGUUUAUCCUCCAGGUCUCUGUCUGUUGGUGUUGUUUAUCCUCCAGGUCUCUGUCUGUUGGUGUUGUUUAUCCUCCAGGUGUCUGUCUGUUGGUGUUGUUUAUCCUCCAGGUGUCUGUCUG
rnacentral:lncRNA from 1 species